CUUUUCGAGGUAGGAGUCGACUCCUGUGAGGUAUGGUGCUGGGUGCAGAUGCAGUGUGGCUCUGGAUAGCACCUUAUGGACAGUUGUGUCCCCAAGGAAGGAUGAGAAUAGCUACUGAAGUCCUAAAGAGCAAGCCUAACUCAAGCCAUUGGCACACAGGCAUUAGACAGAAAGCUGGAAGUUGAAAUGGUAAGUGAAACUGUAUCCAAGUAAGCAGGUGGAGUCCAACUUGCCUGGACCAGCUUAAUGGUUCUGCUCCUGGUAACGUUUUUAUCCAUGGAUGACUUGCUUGGGUAAGGACAUGAAGACAGUUCCUGUCAUACCUUUUAAAGGUAUGGAGAGUCGGCUUGACUACACUGUGUGGAGCAAGUUUUAAAGAAGCAAAGGACUCAGAAUUCAUGAUUGAAGAAAUGCAGGCAGACCUGUUAUCCUAAACUAGGGUUUUUAAUGACCACAACAAGCAAGCAUGCAGCUUACUGCUUGAAAGGGUCUUGCCUCACCCAAGCUAGAGUGCAGUGGCCUUUGAAGCUUACUACAGCCUCAAACUUCUGGGCUCAAGUGAUCCUCAGCCUCCCAGUGGUCUUUGUAGACUGCCUGAUGGAGUCUCAUGGCACAAGAAGAUUAAAACAGUGUCUCCAAUUUUAAUAAAUUUUUGCAAUCCA
rnacentral:lncRNA from 1 species